ACGAACGCUGGCGGCGUGCUUAACACAUGCAAGUCGAACGGUGAAGCGCCUUCCUUUUUGGUGGGUGUGGAUGAGUGGCGAACGGGUGAGUAACACGUGAGUAACCUGCCCCCUUCUUCUGGAUAACCGCAUGAAAGUGUGGCUAAUACGGGAUAUUCUGGGUCUGUCGCAUGAUGGGUCUGGGAAAGAUAUUGUUUCGGUGGGGGAUGGGCUCGCGGCCUAUCAGCUUGUUGGUGGGGUGAUGGCCUACCAAGGCGGUGACGGGUAGCCGGCCUGAGAGGGUGGACGGUCACACUGGGACUGAGACACGGCCCAGACUCCUACGGGAGGCAGCAGUGGGGAAUAUUGCACAAUGGGCGCAAGCCUGAUGCAGCGACGCCGCGUGAGGGAUGGAGGCCUUCGGGUUGUGAACCUCUUUCGCCAGUGAAGCAGGCCUGCCUCGUUUGUGGGUGGGUUGACGGUAGCUGGAUAAGAAGCGCCGGCUAACUACGCG
rnacentral:rRNA from 1 species